GACGUAGGGCGCGAGCGUUGUCCGGAUUUAUUGGGCGUAAAGAGCUCGUAGGCGGCUUGUCGCGUCGACUGUGAAAACCCGAGGCUCAACUUCGGGCUUGUCAGUCGAUACGGGCAGGCUAGAGUUCGGUAGGGGAGACUGGAAUUCCUGGUGUAGCGGUGAAAUGCGCAGAUAUCAGGAGGAACACCGAUGGCGAAGGCAGGUCUCUGGGCCGAUACUGACGCUGAGGAGCGAAAGCGUGGGGAGCGAACAGG
rnacentral:rRNA from 1 species